rnacentral:rRNA from 1 species
GCGGAACACGUACGCAACCUUCCUUCAAGCGGGGAAUAGCCCAGAGAAAUUUGGAUUAAUACCCCAUAAGAAUGUGGAUCGGCAUCGAUCAGCAUUUAAAGAUUUAUCACUUGAAGAUGGGCGUGCGUCUGAUUAGGUAGUUGGUGAGGUAACGGCUCACCAAGCCGACGAUCAGUAACUGGCGUGAGAGCGCGACCAGUCACACGGGCACUGAGACACGGGCCCGACUCCUACGGGAGGCAGCAGUAAGGAAUAUUGGUCAAUGGACGGAAGUCUGAACCAGCCAUGCCGCGUGGAGGAUGAAUGCCCUCUGGGUUGUAAACUUCUUUUAUCUGGGACGAAACACUUCUUUUCUAAGAGGCUUGACGGUACCAGAGGAAUAAGCACCGGCUAACUCCGUGCCAGCAGCCGCGGUAAUACGGAGGGUGCAAGCGUUAUCCGGAUUCACUGGGUUUAAAGGGUGCGUAGGCGGAUUUGUAAGUCCGUGGUGAAAUCUCCAAGCUUAACUUGGAAACUGCCAUGGAUACUAUAAAUCUUGAAUGUUGUGGAGGUUAGCGGAAUAUGUCAUGUAACGGUGAAAUGCUUAGAUAUGACAUAGAACACCGAUUGCGAAGGCAGCUGGCUACACAACUAUUGACGCUGAGGCACGAAAGCGUGAGGAUCACACAGGAUUAGAUACCCUGGUAGUCCACGCCCUAUACGAUGAUUACUCGACAUUUGCGAUACAUUGUAAGUGUCUG